GUUGUGUGACGUGUAUGGGCUCCUAGAGACCUCCAGAGGGGUCCACAGGGCACAGAGAAGGGGGCAGUUUCUCCUGCAUCCUAAGUCCUGCCUCCCCAUGCUCCCUCCCUCUUCAGUGCUGCCCUCCCUCUCUGUACUCUGUAGGGCCAUGAUUCCUUUUGGGAAAAAGAGCAUUAGUUAUUGACUUUUUUUUUUUUUUUUUUUUUUUAAACAGGGUCUCUGUUGCCCAGGCUGGAGUGCAGUGUUAUGAUCUUGGCUCACUGCAGCCUCUGCCUCCUAGGUUCAAGCAAAUUCUUCUGCCUUCGCCUCCCGAGGUGCUGAAAUUACAGGCACACACCACCACACCUGUCUAAUUUUUGUAUUUUUAGAAGAGAUGGGGUUGGUCAGGCUGAUCUUGAUCUCCUGACCUCAAGUGAUCCUCCUGCCUUGGCCUCCCAAGGUGCUGGGAUUACAGGCAUGAGCCACUGUGCCUGGCAUAGUUUUUUAAAAUUCCAGGCUUGAGGUUCCUAGACAAUCAGUCAGCUCAUAAUCUUCCAAGUCGCAAAGUACCCCCCACCCCGCCUGCCAAACACACUUUCAGAAACCCCUGUCUUCCAACAAGAUGACCUUGGCUUUCUUUCAGCCUCCUUUGUUGAAGCUGUUGACUGGUAUCACCAGGAUAAACACAGGCGUGGGCUGACUGCUGGGAGCGGAGGUGCUGGGCCUGAUUUAGCUUCUCGACCUUGAGGGGCUAGCUGAUGGGGCAGGUUUCCUGGGUGGGAUUAUAAGAAAUCCUAGGGCAUCCUUGGGUGGUGUGUGUGGGGUCCAAGUGUGUUCUGAGUCUGUAUGACCAUAUUGAGUGGAUGUGCUUGGGCAUUCUUCCAGGGAGAGGGUCAGUAGUUUUUAUCGGUUUCUCAAAGGGGCCUGUGACCUUCAAAACGUUAAGGAAGCUGGCCUGGAUGAUCUCCGAUGAGGUCCUUCCUGUUUCAGCCUCGGCACUUAGGAGCAGGAUGAGCAAUUGGAAUUGCCAGCACUCAGCCUCAGAGAGGAAGGCAGAAUCAAGAAUGGCCACAUGUUUGAGGAGAGCUGAUAACAGAGCAGGAUGAGUGAGGAGUUAGCUCCGAGGAGACAGAGGCAGCAGCACAAGUAGUAGGGACUUUGGGGUAAGAAAAAUUAAUGUCCUCUCGAAGAUGUAAAGGCAUUUGACCCAUACAAUAAAAAUUAGUGGCCGGGCGUGGUGGCUUAUGCCUGUAAUUCCAGCACUUUGGGAGGCCGAGGUGGGCAGAUCACCUGAGGUCAGGAGUUCGAGACCAGCCUGGCCAACAUGGGAAAACCCGUCUCUACUAAAACUACAAAAAUUAGCUGGUCGUGGUGACGGGUGCUUGUAA
rnacentral:lncRNA from 1 species